CUGGCCUCAGUCAUGGACCAAGACCCCACUGUAUGAGGUGCUGUACAAACACAGAACAAAAAGACGGUCUUCACCCCAGCAAGCUUACUGUACCCAUGACGUCAUGUGUGCGCAAACUGGAUGAUUGACUAAAAAACAGAGAGAUGUCCACCUCAAAGUUCACUUCAUGAAAGAAGCGAUGCAUCCUGCAUCAGAACUGAGCCUGACCAUGAAGCAGCAGAUUCAGAACUGAUGAGGAGUGUCCUUCAGCUGCCCCUUAUUUGAGACACACAGCUGGUAAACAAUGUCACUCAUUGCCCUCAUCAUCAGCCUCUUUGAAGCACUCCAAGCUUUCCAGUGAUAGCAAGUCUGUGAAGUCUUGGACAUCUCCUAAAAAAUCUUCUAGUAAUCUUCAGAUACCAGUUUGAGACAUCACAAAUCUAAACACUCACCAGCUCUGUCUGAGGCAGCACCAUCAACUCUGGCUCCCUUCGCGCUUUUGAGACCAGUAUCUUCACCCUUAGUGGGUCCCUCUUCUCCUUUCCAGCUUAUCCAGUCUAUCUCAGCUCCACUGGCACCAAUGAACUUACCUGUUGUGGUGUCCUUUACUCCACAAGUGCUCUUGUUGGCAACGUAUAUUCUCUGCCUUCCCCUCUCAGACUGCAGUUGGCUUCAUUUAAGGAACCUCCAGUGUUUUCAGCUCUAUCAACAUGAUCAGCAUCAUGGGCUCCCUCCAUACCAUAGGAGCAUUUAGAGUUAUCACCAACUCUCCAACCUGUUAGGCCAGCACCAAUCACUUCAUCGGUAUUCUGACAUCUCCACCUCUGAACCCAUUGCUACAACUUCUCUACCUUUAUUAUCUAUGAAGACAGCAUUUCUGGGGCAGUGACUUCCUCAAGGAGGGCUUCAGAACUUCAAGCUCUCCUGGCUGACCCUCCUUUCACAGUCUUCCAUAAAGACAAGGUUUCCCUUAGACCAAACCCUAAAUUCAUGCCUAAAUUAGUGUCAGAUUUCCAUCUGAACCAAACUACUAAUCUUCUGCUAUUUUUCCUUAAACUACAUUCUUCCAGAGCUAAAGAAAAACUUCAUACCUUGGAUGUUCAUAGAGUUUUGUGUACUAUCCGGACCAUGCUAGUUCCUUCAGAACUUCUUCCAGGCUUUUUGUAGCAUACACUGAAAGAAUUAAGGGUCAAUCAGUAUCAGCUCAGCAAAUCUCACAUUGGAUUUCUGACUUCGUUACGCUCUGCUACCAUCUUGCUAAAAGUAUGUCCUCUGCUGAGAAUAAUGUCUCGCUCCACGAGGGAUCAGUCUACUUCAUCAACCUUUCUGAGCAAUAUCCUAAUAGCAGCCAAAUGGUCAUUUCUACAUAGCUUUUCCAGUCAUUAUGCCAUCACUCAAGGCUCUUGUGACAAGAUGCCAACUUUGGCAAGUCAGUGUCACAUGAUCCAAAGUCCCUCCACCUGUAAGGGAAGGGGAACUGCUGGUAAGUCACCUGUAAAGGUAUGUAUAUGUGCACAAUCACUGGAAGGUGGAGGGGAGUUGUUCUUUGAGAUGUGUUGUGCACAUAUAUGUUCCCUGGCUCUCCCACCUUCCCUGUUACUUCUGACAUUAUAUACAGAGAUGUGAAGGAGAAGAGAGAGAAGCAGUGGACCUGUCUGUUUUAUGCCAUCACCUGACAGCACAAAGAGAGCAGGGGUGCAUGUGCUCCCUAGUGAUACUGCUAAAAAAUCUCUGAUUCAAGUGCACUGGGCACACAUAUGCCUGCAGUGGAAUGUAUAUGUGUUCAACACAUCUCAAAGUAACCAUUUUUUACACCCUAUGAAAUCUUGUUGAAGUCAGUAUGGCAUGAAAAGAAAAUGUCCUUCAUCCUAUGUCCCUGACAAGGUGGAACUUAAACUUCUAUAUAUUACUAGCAGAACAUUGAUUUACGUAAGAGCUAGUAAGUAUGGCUCUUUCACUCAUGCAAAAAAUGUAUCAAGCUAAGUUGCUUAAGAAUAGGGACUUUACUUUUCUCAGAAUAAAAAUAAGUCACAUUUCAUCACUUCAUCUGGCAAUACUGGACUUCAAAUGAACUCUCUCUUCUUAGCUUUUUUGUUUAUUUUCAAAUGCUCUGUUUGAAACUUUGAACAAAUGCAUAAAACUGUUUAAUCUGUAA